CGCUGGGCGGGGAAGAGGGGGCAGCGCUGGAGGGGAGACCGUCCCAGCUCAAGGCCUGCGGGCCAGGGAGGGGGCGAGAGACCUGGGCCCCGCGACCCAGAUCCAGCAUCCAGGGCCCCUCUGGGAUGGUAUAAACUUACUCAGAUCCAAAUACAGCCUAGUAUGCUGCCCUGCGUUCCUGAGGACCGUUUUCCACAUGAACAGUCUUAUGGAUGCACAAAUUUCCACUCAAGCCAGUGUCAAGUUCUCAUUGCAAGAAAGUAGCAGCAGUGUUUAAGGUGACUGCAACAACCAGGGCUGGGGCAGAAGCCUAGAACUCCAUCAUCUGGGUUUCCUACAUGAAUACCAGGGGCCCAAGUACUUGGGCCAUUCUGCUGCUGUUUACAGAGGUACAUUAGCAUUCUGUUCACUUAGUAUAUCUAUCACAGAAGGGAUUUUAUUUAUUCUUCCCAUGCAGGCCACUGAGAUUUAACCACAUCAGUGCAGUAUGUCCUAUCUUAUAAGGAGAGUCAGCAUUUUUUCAUAUGAAGAAAUAUCCAGAGCUUCCUUGAAUUUUAUGUUCGCAUAUU